AACGCACCUUGCGCUCCCUGGUAUUCCGGGGAGCACGCCUGUUCGAGUGUCAUGAAACUCUCAAACAAGAUAGAUUUGUUUCUGUCUUUGUUUGGAUUUGGACUUUGCUGCGUCAAUGCAGCUGGUCUUAAAUGUAUUAGCUGGUCCUGAUGAAGGUUUGGUUCUACUCAGCGUGAUAAUUAUCUAACGUUGAGGACAGUCUCUGGACUGGCCAGGCUCUCUUUGGAUUGCUUCUAAUCAUCUUCGGAUAAUUGCUUAAUAUCUGACCUCGAAUCAGGUGGGACUACCCGCUGAACUUAA
rnacentral:misc_RNA from 1 species